rnacentral:rRNA from 1 species
UACGUAGGCAGCAAGCGUUGUUCGGAGUUACUGGGCGUAAAGAGUGCGUAGGCGGUGCCCUAAGUCUGUUGUGAAAUCUCCCGGCUCAACUGGGAGGGUGCGGUGGAAACUGGGGUGCUUGAGAGUGGGAGAGGUUAGCGGAAUUCCUGGUGUAGCGGUGAAAUGCGUAGAUAUCAGGAGGAACACCGGUGGUGUAGACGGCUGACUGGACCACGACUGACGCUGAGGCACGAAAGCGUGGGUAG